UGCUACGUUAGGAUAAAUACAUAAAUAUAGUACAGCGAUGUGAUCUCAAGUUGAAAACAAAAUAAACAAUAAAGUAGUAAAGAAUGGCCCUUGGGGUGUGUGUGUGUGUGAGAGAGAGAGAUGAAUGAGAAUCCGACAGCUUGGGUCUGCAAUCUUUCGUACGCCCCUCUCGAUGAGGCUAAGGUGUACUGCAAUCUUUGCAACCCGUGCGUCUCUUUAAAUAAGUCCCUAUCCUUGGUUCAAUGACACUAUUUUAUUUUUUAAUAUAAUGUAAGUUUAAAACUUGAGAGACAGGUACAAAAAGGCAGAAUUGGACAAAGUUAGUAUAUGAAAAAAAAGAAAUUUUCUUGAUACAAAAAGAGAACUAAACUCCAAAAUGACUCCUUGUGUAAAAUAUAUUGCAGAACAGGCAUUGACUUGGAGCAAAUAUGGUUUGAUGAAACCUAUUGCUAAGU
rnacentral:lncRNA from 1 species